GAUGAACGCUAGCGAUAGGCUUAACACAUGCAAGUCGAGGGGCAGCAUGGUCUUAGCUUGCUAAGACUGAUGGCGACCGGCGCACGGGUGCGUAACGCGUAUGCAACUUGCCUCACAGAGGGGGAUAACCCGUCGAAAGACGGACUAAUACCGCGUACACUCCAUCUUGGGCAUCCAAGGUAGAGGAACUGAAAUUCGCUGUGAGAUAGGCAUGCGUCCCAUUAGCUAGUUGGUGAGGUAACGGCUCACCAAGGCGACGAUGGGUAGGGGAACUGAGAGGUUGAACCCCCACACUGGUACUGAGACACGGACCAGACUACUACGGGAGGCAGCAGUGAGGAAUAUUGGUCAAUGGGCGAGAGCCUGAACCAGCCAAGUCGCGUGAGGGAUGACUGUCUUAUGGAUUGUAAACUUCUUUUAUACGGGAAUAACAAGAGUCACGUGUGACUCCCUGCAUGUACCGUAUGAAUAAGCAUCGGCUAACUCCGUG
rnacentral:rRNA from 1 species